rnacentral:lncRNA from 1 species
GAUUUUACAUUUUCUGUUAUUUUCCUCAGUGCUUGGGAUAUAAUGGAAAUGCCAAAUAAUUUCAUGAGUUUUGUAGUCAAGAAACUGUGGUAAGAGUCUGAGAGUUUUAUUAUCAGAAUUUGUGCAUACCUGCCACAUCUCACAUCAUAAACCACUCAUUGGGCUAGUUGUCAUUUUCUCUACAAGGUGUCCUGGCACGAUAAUAAAACAUAGCAAUUAUGUAACAGGUUUGUGCUGUGCCACCAUGGCCUCCUUUGGAAGGAAGGAGCAUAAGUGAUAGCUUAAUUAUUAUAAUUUCAAUGGGUUGUAUCUGAAAGAAUUUUAGUUUCAAAAUAUAUUGAACAAUCCCAAAUAAUGU